AAAAUAAAUUAGAAGAUUUGUCAUUAUUAGAAACGUAUGAAAAAUUAUAUAAUGAUAAAAUGUACCAUGCGAGUUAUGAAAAUAAUAUAAAUUAUAUCAGUAUUUUAAACGAAAGAAAUCAAAGCAAUACAGAUAAUAAAAGUAAUACAGAUAAUAAAAGUAAUACAUAUAAUAAAAGUAAUACAUAUAAUAAAAUAAAAAAAAUUGUAAAAAGUAAUACAGUAAAGGAAAAUAAUUUUGAACAGGAAAAUAUUUUGAGCGAUAUGGAACAAAUUAAUGAACUACCAAACGAGUAUUAUAAUAAUAAAUGUACAAAUGCUUUAUUAGAUAUUAAUAGUGGCAAAUCAAAUAUGUACAAAUUAUAUGGUGCUGAUGGUGGUGUUGUUGCUGGUGGUGUUGUCGCUGAUGGUGGUGAUGGUGGUGAUAGUGGCGAUAGUGGUGAUGGUGGUGAUGGUAAUGACAAAAUGAGCAGUUUAAUUAUAAAUCCAAAUGAAAAAUAUAAAAUACCAUAUUUAAGUUCAUAUAAUAAAAAUUAUAACGAUUUGAAUAAGGACAUAAACCAAUAUAAAUCUGAAUUUGAUGAUAAUGAUGUUAUAAUAAAUGCAAAAAAAUUAAGUAAAAAAAGUGAUAAUUUAAUCGAAGAUAUAUUUAGUCCGAAUAAUAUAUGUCCCGAUGAAAUAUUUGAAAAAAUGAAUAAUGACAUAAGUACCCAGUGUAUGAAUAUAAAACUUGAUAGAGAUAUAUUAAGUGAAGAAAAUAUUUUGAAAACAGCUAAUGAAAUUUUAUUAGAAGAAUAUUUAAAUGAACCAAAACUAGAAACAGAAGAAGUAGUUUAUAAUUCCCAUUUAAAUAUGUACGGGGAUGAAGAUAUGAAUAUGUUAAAAAAAAAAAGAAAAAAUGAUAAAUUUAUACAAAAAAGUAAUGAAAUUAUAAUGAGUCAAAUAACAGAUACAAAUUAUAUGAAUAUAUUACAUAAACACAAUUUAAAUAAUAAUAAAUCUCUUAAAUUGAUGUUAAAAAAAAAUAAUAGUUGUAUAGAUUCUUCUAUAGUUGAUAAUGUUAACAAUAAUAGUAUUAUUAAUUAUGAAAAUAAUUAUAACAACGAAGGUGAAUAUAAUAAUAAUAAUAAUAUAAGUGUGUACAAGAAGAACAUGUAUGGUACUCAUAACAUAGACGGUACAUUAUACAACAUUUCCUCAGAUAAAUAUGAUAAUAACGAUUAUAAUCAGAACGAUAACAAUAAUAAUAAUAAUAAUAACAGGUGUAGUAGUAUUAAUAAUAAUCACCAACAACAUCGUAAUACAUAUAUUAUCCCUCCAUCAUAUGGUGAUAAUAUUAUAAUGAAAUAUGAAGCUUAUAUUAACAAUAAAAAUUAUAACAGCUAUUAUAAUAAUAAUAGUAGCAAUAAUAAUGUUCAACUUGUUGCUAUUAAUAAUGGUAAAGGUAGUGAUAGUAACUCUUGUAUUUCUAACAACAAUGAUACUAUAAUUGUUCUGAACGAAAAUAGCAUUAAUUUAUUAAUAAAAAAUAAUAUGCUUAAAUUUACUACAUUUUUAAAAAACAUAUACAAACAUACGAAAAUAAACGAUUUAAAUGAUGGCUUAUAUAACUAUUAUAGAUUUAUAAAUAAAAUAAAUGCUAAUAUUAAGGAAGCUAGCUAUGAUAUGGUAUAUAAACAUUUAAUGCAAAAUAGUGAUAAAGACAAAUUAUUACGAAUACAAUUAUCUUAUAUGAUAAU
ensembl:lncRNA